AUACGUAGGGGGCGAGCGUUGUCCGGAAUGAUUGGGCGUAAAGGGCGCGUAGGCGGCCUGUUAAGUCUGGAGUGAAAGUCCUGUUUUCAAGAUGGGAAUUGCUUUGGAUACUGAUGGGCUUGAGUGCAGGAGAGGUUAUCGGAAUUCCCGGUGUAGCGGUGAAAUGCGUAGAGAUCGGGAGGAACACCAGUGGCGAAGGCGGGUAACUGGACUGCAACUGACGCUGAGGCGCGAAAGUGUGGGGAGCAAACAGGAUUAGAUACCCUGGUAGUCCACACUGUAAACGAUGAAUGCUAGGUGUAAGGGGUAUCGACCCCUUUUGUGCCGGAGUUAACACAAUAAGCAUUCCGCCUGGGGAGUACGGCCGCAAGGUUGAAACUCAAAUGAAUUGACGG
rnacentral:rRNA from 1 species